AAAAAAAAAAAAGAAAAAGAAAAAGGAAAAAAAAAAAGAAUCAUGGCUAGGUAAUAAAGUAAACUGGAGAUUCACUCUCUUCAUUAGGGUGGGAGCCAAGAAUGUGCAUUGUUGUUGUGUAUCCUCAGUGAUUCUUAUAAGGUGGUCCCCACACUACACUUUGAGAAACAGCAAAUAAAAGGACUUCUUUCUCAUGCCUUUCUGUAAGUGCGGCUCAUGUCCUCCCUGGUCUCUUGUUUGAUGGUCACUGGAGAUGAGAUGAUUUUGAGAAUCGCACCAUGCUUUACUCUCUCUCUUUAGCCUGUUCUGAAGAGACCACAUGCAGGGGAUUUUUGAUUUGAAAAUGAAACAGUCUGGCUCAUGUUUUCCAAGAAUUUGAUAGAAACCAAAUUAGAGAGAAAAGAAUGUUUCAAGGCAAUCUCUGAAUCUAAGGAUGUUAGUUACAAUGACAGUAAUAAAAAAGAGAAGAUUGUGUGCUUAAAGAAUACAAGUUACAUAUUUGUGCUGAAUUGGUGGUUUGGGUUAACAAUAGAACAAGGUUUAGUUGUAUCUUGCCCUGUUUUUUUUUUUUUUUUUUAAAUUAAAAAGAAAUCUGCGUGUCAGUGUUUCUCUAUACAAUGUACACAAUGUGAACUGCAACAUCUUAAAUGUUUGGCAGGACAUUCAUGCUCAUGACAUCACAUGCUGAGAGGACAGGGAGGCCAGUGUGGGGCUGGCCUCGAAGAGAGGCGGCAUCAGUGCUACCAUUGAGAUGUCCCCACAAAAGAGUGUGUGACAGCCAGAUGUGCAGCUUAAUGGAGACUGAACCAGGAUUGUGGGUGGAACAUUGGCACAUGCUGCUUAUGGCUUGAAUAGCAGCUCUUGAGGAAUCUAUAUUUCUCUACCUCAUGCAGAAUCUUAGAGCUCUGGCUUUGUGGCUCCAUGGCUGGGGGAGGGAGUGGAGACGGAGGAACUUGUCACUGCUCCAUGCCCCAUUGUUGAAAUGGAAAAUGUGGAAAUGUUAAGCCGUUUCUAGAGGAUUGUGGAAGACUCAGGGUGACAAGAAGUGGAUUCUAAAGUGCUGAGGGCUCAGUGGGCCAGCCCAGGCCUGGAGUCUGAAUGAAGAGGCAUCAGUGUGCCGGAACUUCAUGACUGGGUUCAGUGCCAGACCUGCAGACGUUGAAAGUGAAUGUCAUCAUGAAGCCCACAUGGCUGGAUGGGUCAGGUUCUCCUCAGUUGUCACCUGUCCAGGGGCAGUCCAGUGAGAAAAGCUAGAAUGUGGAGUCCUGUCAUCAGAUGAUGUGACUACAUGGAAUGAGGACUAUAGCUGCUCUCUUAAAAACCUGCAGCCCCCUCUCUCAGCCCAGACAGUUGAGGUAUUUAUGCACCAUCAUAACAUUAACAGCAUCUUUGCUUUGGAAAGUGGGGGUUUAUGAUUUCUAGGGUAAAUCCUCGCCUUUGGGAGUGUGAAUGAGACAAGCGUAUCAGCAACUGCCAAGACCAAUCAAUAGAUGUGCAUGGAACAUUCUCUUCAUCCCCAAAUCAGAAUGAACACAGUCCUUUAAAGUCUGCACUGCAGGUGAAAUUCACAUGACUCACAAUUCCCUUUAGCCAAUGUUACCGAAGUCAGUGUCAAGAAAACUUAACAGAAAAAAAAAAAA
rnacentral:lncRNA from 1 species